UCCAGACUCCUACGGGAGGCAGCAGUGGGGAAUAUUGGACAAUGGGGGGAACCCUGAUCCAGCGACGCCGCGUGAGUGAAGAAGUAUUUCGGUAUGUAAAGCUCUAUCAGCAGGGAAGAAAGAAAUGACGGUACCUGACUAAGAAGCCCCGGCUAACUACGUGCCAGCAGCCGCGGUAAUACGUAGGGGGCAAGCGUUAUCCGGAUUUACUGGGUGUAAAGGGAGCGUAGACGGCAGAGCAAGUCUGAAGUGAAAGCCCGCGGCCCAACUGCGGGACUGCUUUGGAAACUGCCCGGCUAGAGUGCUGGAGAGGUAAGCGGAAUUCCUAGUGUAGCGGUGAAAUGCGUAGAUAUUAGGAGGAACACCAGUGGCGAAGGCGGCUUACUGGACAGUAACUGACGUUGAGGCUCGAAAGCGUGGGGAGCGAACAGGAUUAGAUACCCCAGUA
rnacentral:rRNA from 1 species